UACGUAGGGGGCAAGCGUUGUCCGGAAUCAUUGGGCGUAAAGAGCGUGUAGGCGGCUCGAUAAGUCUGCUGUGAAAGUCCAGGGCUCAACCUUGGAAGGCCGGUGGAAACUGUCGGGCUAGAGUCCGGAAGAGGCGAGUGGAAUUCCCGGUGUAGCGGUGAAAUGCGCAGAUAUCGGGAGGAACACCGGUGGCGAAGGCGGGUCUCUGGGCCGAUACUGACGCUGAGGAGCGAAAGCGUGGGGAGCGAACAGG
rnacentral:rRNA from 1 species